rnacentral:rRNA from 1 species
GACAAGAAGACCCUUUUAAGCUUUAUUUAGAAUUCUUUGGCUUUUUCUUUCAAGAAUUUGGCUAAGGUCUAUAAAUUUGGUUGGGGUGACUGAAGAAGAUAAAAUCUUCUUUUGUUUAUUAGUACUUUAGGUUAAAAAAUGACCCAAGAUUUCUUGGUUGUAAGAAUUAGUUACUAAAGGGAUAACAGCGUAAUCUUUUCAAAGAGUUCUUAUGGAAGAAAAGGAUUGCCACCUCUAUAUGGACUAGCCUGCUUUCCUGUUAUGUUGAUGUGGUUGUUAAGAAAGCCUGUUAAA